rnacentral:lncRNA from 1 species
UUCUUCUUUCCUUCUCUUCUUCUUCUUCCUCUUCUUCUUCUUCUUCCUCUUUCCUUCUCUUCUUCUUCUUCNNNNNNNNNNNNNNNNUCUUCUUCUUCUUCUUCCUUCUUUUCCUUUUUCCUCUUCUUUCUUCUCCUCUUCCUCCUCCUCUUCGUCUUCUUCUUCUUCUUCCUUCUUCUACUUAUUCUUCUUUUGUUCUUCUUGUUUUUUCUUCUUUCUCUACUUCUUUUAAUUAUGACUAAUUAACUAAAACCUAUCACUAAUCUAGCACUAAACUACAUAUAUAUACCUAAUACUAAAGCGGCUACUGCUUCUGUCGAAAAACCCGUCACGGCGUUUUUCGCAAAAAAAAUCCCCUGAUGUUUUGUGUAUUCAACAUGCACUCCCUUUUUAAGUGAAAAAACGUUUCAUUUUAGAAUUUUUCGUUAGAAACCUUGUAGUUUUUUGUAUUCACCCCGCGUUCAUCCUCCUCUGCCCAAACUGCUGCUGCUUGAUGCCAUGCGAAGCAGCAAGGGAGGCCGACGGGAUCGACUGGCUCGGGGGUUGGGGACGUGGGGCUCCAGCGAC